AGAGUUUGAUCCUGGCUCAGAUUGAACGCUGGCGGCAUGCCUUACACAUGCAAGUCGAACGGCAGCACGGGAGCAAUCCUGGUGGCGAGUGGCGAACGGGUGAGUAAUAUAUCGGAACGUGCCCAGUCGUGGGGGAUAACGCAGCGAAAGCUGUGCUAAUACCGCAUACGAUCCAUGGAUGAAAGCGGGGGAUCGCAAGACCUCGCGCGAUUGGAGCGGCCGAUAUCAGAUUAGCUAGUUGGUGGGGUAAAAGCCCACCAAGGCGACGAUCUGUAGCUGGUCUGAGAGGACGACCAGCCACACUGGAACUGAGACACGGUCCAGACUCCUACGGGAGGCAGCAGUGGGGAAUUUUGGACAAUGGGCGCAAGCCUGAUCCAGCAAUGCCGCGUGCAGGAUGAAGGCCUUCGGGUUGUAAACUGCUUUUGUACGGAACGAAACGGUUCGCUUUAAUACAGUGGGCUAAUGACGGUACCGUAAGAAUAGACCGACUUCGCC
rnacentral:rRNA from 1 species